rnacentral:rRNA from 1 species
GUGGGGAAUCUUGCGCAAUGGACGAAAGCCUGACGCAGCCAUGCCGCGUGAAUGAUGAAGGUCUUAGGAUUGUAAAAUUCUUUCACCGGGGACGAUAAUGACGGUACCCGGAGAAGAAGCUCCGGCUAACUUCGUGCCAGCAGCCGCGGUAAUACGAAGGGGGCUAGCGUUGCUCGGAAUUACUGGGCGUAAAGGGCGCGUAGGCGGACAGCUUAGUCAGAGGUGAAAGCCCAGGGCUCAACCUUGGAAUUGCCUUUGAUACUGGCUGUCUUGAGUUUGGGAGAGGUGAGUGGAACUCCGAGUGUAGAGGUGAAAUUCGUAGAUAUUCGGAAGAACACCAGUGGCGAAGGCGACUCACUGGCCCAAUACUGACGCUGAGGCGCGAAAGCGUGGGGAGCAAACAGGAUUAGAAACCCCAGUAGUCC